rnacentral:rRNA from 1 species
AGGAGCUUGCUCCUGGAUUCAGCGGCGGACGGGUGAGUAAUGCCUAGGAAUCUGCCUGGUAGUGGGGGACAACGUUUCGAAAGGAACGCUAAUACCGCAUACGUCCUACGGGAGAAAGCAGGGGACCUUCGGGCCUUGCGCUAUCAGAUGAGCCUAGGUCGGAUUAGCUAGUUGGUGAGGUAAUGGCUCACCAAGGCGACGAUCCGUAACUGGUCUGAGAGGAUGAUCAGUCACACUGGAACUGAGACACGGUCCAGACUCCUACGGGAGGCAGCAGUGGGGAAUAUUGGACAAUGGGCGAAAGCCUGAUCCAGCCAUGCCGCGUGUGUGAAGAAGGUCUUCGGAUUGUAAAGCACUUUAAGUUGGGAGGAAGGGUUGUAGAUUAAUACUCUGCAAUUUUGACGUUACCGACAGAAUAAGCACCGGCUAACUCUGUGCCAGCAGCCGCGGUAAUACAGAGGGUGCAAGCGUUAAUCGGAAUUACUGGGCGUAAAGCGCGCGUAGGUGGUUUGUUAAGUUGGAUGUGAAAUCCCCGGGCUCAACCUG